GUGUCAGCCGCCGCGGUAAUACGUAGGGAGCGAGCGUUGUCCGAAUUUACUGGGCGUAAAGAGCGCGUAGGCGGCUUUACAAGUCCGGUGUGAAAUCCCGAGGCUCAACCUCGGAACUGCAUUGGAAACUGUAAGGCUUGAGUAUGGGAGAGGAGAGCGGAAUUCCUGGUGUAGCGGUGAAAUGCGUAGAUAUCAGGAGGAACACCCGUGGCGAAGGCGGCUCUCUGGCCUUUUACUGACGCUGAGGUGCGAAAGCUAGGGGAGCGAACGGGAUUAGAUACCCCGGUAGUCCUAGCCGUAAACGAUGGUCACUAGGUGUUAGUGGUAUCGACCCCACUAGUGCCGCAGCUAACGCAAUAAGUGACCCGCCUGGGGAGUACGGCCGCAAGGUUGAA
rnacentral:rRNA from 1 species